rnacentral:rRNA from 1 species
AGAGUUUGAUCAUGGCUCAGAGCGAACGCUGGCGGCAGGCCUAACACAUGCAAGUCGAACGGAUCCUUCGGGAUUAGUGGCGGACGGGUGAGUAACACGUGGGAACGUGCCCUUUGGUACGGAACAACUCAGGGAAACUUGAGCUAAUACCGUAUAAGCCCUACGGGGGAAAGAUUUAUCGCCAUUGGAGCGGCCCGCGUCUGAUUAGCUAGUUGGUGAGGUAAAAGCUCACCAAGGCGACGAUCAGUAGCUGGUCUGAGAGGAUGAUCAGCCACAUUGGGACUGAGACACGGCCCAAACUCCUACGGGAGGCAGCAGUGGGGAAUCUUGCGCAAUGGGCGAAAGCCUGACGCAGCCAUGCCGCGUGAAUGAUGAAGGUCUUAGGAUUGUAAAAUUCUUUCACCGGGGACGAUAAUGACGGUACCCGGAGAAGAAGCUCCGGCUAACUUCGUGCCAGCAGCCGCGGUAAUACGAAGGGGGCUAGCGUUGCUCGGAAUUACUGGGCGUAAAGGGCGCGUAGGCGGAUAUUUAAGUCGGGGGUGAAAGCCCAGGGCUCAACCCUGGAAUUGCCUUCGAUACUGGAUAUCUUGAGUACGGGAGAGGUGUGUGGAACUCCGAGUGUAGAGGUGAAAUUCGUAGAUAUUCGGAAGAACACCAGUGGCGAAGGCGACACACUGGCCCGUUACUGACGCUGAGGCGCGAAAGCGUGGGGAGCAAACAGGAUUAGAUACCCUGGUAGUCCACGCUGUAAACGAUGAGUGCUAGUUGUCGGCAUGCAUGCAUGUCGGUGACGCAGCUAA